GAUGCACAGGCCGCCAUUCCACAACUUUCGAGACAAUGGGAAAAGGAAGAAUAAGAAAGUUCAAAACCAAUAGCGCCGCGGUUUCAUUACCUACUUUGUUUUAGACGCGACUGAAUUGAGUUGGAAGAGAAGGGAAAUCCUCGGUUGGGGCUAGGGAGAUUCGUUUCAUCUCUGUAUUAUAACCUCCUGGAGUUUCUAAGGCGAUUGGUGCCAUGGAAGGGACUGGAGCUCAACCCGUCUGCGCCCAAGAGGCAUUGAAUCUUCUUAACUGUGUUACUGAUUCUUCUUUUGAUCAGGAGAAAUGCCUCCGCCUCUUGAAUUCCUUGCGAGAAUGCGUGCUUAAGAAGAAAGUAAAGAAGUUCUCAAUAGCUGAGCCAAACCAACUGGAAGCAGAUUCAGAUAGCAAGGGAAAACGGUGAAAGCUUUUUUUGUUUUAGUGUAAUAGAACCUCCUCUUUUGUCUUCUAGGGUUCAAUAUUGAUAUUUGACCAUGAGAACCAUGGUUGAUAACUUCAUUUUUGAUAGACGACAAUAAUCAUGCUAGAUCAGACUCUGUCCCAACUGGGGUUUUCCUAUAACUUCGGUCUGUUAAUUCACAGCAAAGUAGAACACUGAAAAUGUAAGAGCAAACAGAGGGUACAUAAACUUCAAGGAUGUACCAUUUACAGCCCAUAACUGUAAUUUGUUGAUACUCUUCAUCUGUUUUAUCUUUUGUGUCUGCUUUUUCUUGUGGUUACUGAUUAGUUGAAAUACCAGCACAGGAGUGUUUAUGUUCCA